rnacentral:rRNA from 1 species
UACGUAGGGGGCAAGCGUUGUCCGGAAUCAUUGGGCGUAAAGCGCGUGUAGGCGGCUCGAUAAGUCUGCUGUGAAAGUCCAGGGCUCAACCUCGAGACGUCGGUUGAAACCGUACGGCUAGAGUCCGGAAGAGGAGAGUGGAAUUCCCGGUGUAGCGGUGAAAUGCGCAGAUAUCGGGAAGAACACCCGUGGCGAAGGCGGCCUUCUGGACGGAUACUGACGCUGAUACGCGAAAGCGUGGGGAGCAAACAGG